UGGUAUAGCAAUGUUCCUCAUACAAAGCUGGUGGAGUACAAGGGGCACCAGAACUGGGUUAAUGUCUCGGGGAGCACCUGGUCUUUCCGGGAGGCGGAACUCAGUUCAAGCAUGGUGCUCUGCAUUACAUUGAUUUCAUUCAGGAGGCAAAGAAAGAUGUGGCAUGGGGAAAACUGACCUAUGUAGUUUUAGACGCAGGCAAAGAAAGAUGUGGCAUGAGGCCAGAGGUGGCCGGAUCUGGCAAAGGUAAGCCCCUCCCCUCCUUCUUCGUGCACCAUCUCCUCCUCACCUCACCUUGUCUCGUGUUCCUUUUUGACAGGUCCUCCCCUCCUCACCAUCUCCGUUGCCGGGCCAAGGUUCCGCCGAUCCCCCAAGGUGCAGCUCCCGGCCAUGGGGAAGCACCAGCAGCCGGAGGCGGCCGAGCAGCCCAUGGCGCCGGUGCGAGGCCCUCCCCUCCUCACCAUCUCGUGAAUGGUGUAGGCCCCGAAGCGAGGCGGCAAGGCGCCGGUGUCGGUGAAGAAGAAGGCGGCGUACAAGGUGGUGAACCCGCUGUUUGAGAAGAGGCCGAAGCAGUUUGGAAUCGGUGGCGCCCUGCCGCCCAAGAAGGCCCAAGAAGGACCUCCACUGGUUCGUCAAGUGGCCCGAGGUCGUGCGCAUCCAGCGCCAGCGCCGCAUCCUCAAGCAGCGCCUCAAGGUGCCCUGGCACUCCACUAGUUCACCCGCACCCUCGACAAGAACCUCUGUAUAUACGAAACAUGCCUGUUCAUUCGUCGCUGGACUCGGAAUCCACAAUGCCUGAGGUCGUUUAGUUGUUGUGCUGUAUUAUUUUGAGCGAGUAUUAACUUGGCCAAGAUAAUGGAAAGAGUUGAUGGAUGUGUUUUAAGAU